rnacentral:rRNA from 1 species
GAGUGAUAAGCUUUCUCGAAGGAUUAAGCCAUGCAAGCUCAGCAAAGAGGUAUCCUCGGAGCCGCAAACGGCUCCUUAAAACGGUCGUAACCCACCCGACAAGACUAAUAAUGGUCACGUCAUUUUGCACAAAGGAACUCGUUUCCUAAACGCACUAUAACCAAAACUCGUGGCCUCCCCCGCGGAUAACCGGGAUUAAAGGAAACCUGCGGCUAAUACGUAAUGCGCCUAGCGCUGCCGAUGGGCCCCUCUGCUGCAAGGACCCAUCGGUCGCAUCCAACGCUCAGGAGCGGACGAUCACCCGAUCCCAUCUUGGUUCGCCAAGGGAAGCAGCCUCCCCUUAGGAAGCGGCGUCCGUACUCCGUCGGGAAGAGCGGCGUUGGGGCAUGCGAUGGAGUUAUGAGGAGUUCUCUCUGACUAGACAUGUUUCUAAAAAAAAUUGUUAAAGUUUACAUAAGUGAAACUAGGUGAAAGAAAAAUGAACAUUUGUUCAAAUCUAGAUCCUUCGCUGAAUGUGCUUUUUCAUAAAAAAGAUCAUAUCGAUAUAAAGUUGAGAGUUCUCCCCCUCCACGAGUCGGAAGGGCGGCCGACCUAUCAGCCAGGCGGUAGGGUAACGGCCUACCGCGGCAGUGACGGGUAACGGGGAACUAGGGUUCGGUUCCCGGAGAAGGGGCAUUAGAUACGGCCCCUGUACUUACGGGUAACAGCAGGCGCGUAACUUGGCCAUUGAUUGCAAAUCGAGCCAGCGACUGAGUGUAACGAGGCCGGCAUUUAAACCGGUCGUCGCAAUGAGGGGCAACUGAAUGUCGCCCUGAGAAACUAUUGGAGGACAAGUUGGGUGCCAGCACCCGCGGUAACACCCACUCCGAAAGCUUAUACUUUUGCUGUUGCUGUUAAAGCGCUCGCAGUCCAAACAACGACACAGCUGAGAGGGACAAGGUUUAGACGAGAAUUUAUUCUCUGACAAAACCCCCCCUACUCUUUUUCAUCGCCCGACCAGGCAUAAAUGGCUUCGCUCAAACGCAAGGUCAGUUUAGGCUUCGGCCGCUAUGCCACCCACCAGCAUCCUGGAAUUGGGCUUUAAAAAAACAAAAAACAACACUUUACCAAGUGCGACGCUCAAGUCUCAUUCUUUACCAAGUAUGAACAAUAUCCUAAGAUGCAAGUCAGAGUGAAAACUCAUGUUCUUCAUUAAGGGAAUAAAAACAUUGUGAACUACAUAAAAGUAUUUUUUGAGAUCAAACUUGAGUUAGUCUUCACACUAAUAAAGAACACACGAUUACUAGGUGCGUACGGGGUAGAGAGUGUGGUAUCAGCGAGGAGUGAAAUCUUUUGACCUGAUCCAAACUACCCGAAGCGAAGGCGCUCUGCAAGGGCGUGGCCGGUGAUCUAGAACGAUGGUGGAGGGAGCGAAGCGGAUUAGAGACCCGUGUAGUCUCCACAGUAAACGAUGCCGACUGAAUGGGCGCCGGGCAAACCAAGGCUCGGGGCCCGUUCCCACGGGAAACCGAAGUAAUCGGGCCCAGGGGGGAAGUAUGGUCGCAAGGCUGAAACUUAAAGGCAUUGACGGAGCAACACCACCAGGCUCUGGAGGCUGCGGCUCAAUUUGACUCAACGCGCGACAACUUACCGGGAUCGGACGCUCUAAGGGGACGAACAGACUGAAGGGUCUUUUCCGAGUUAGCUAACGGUGGUGCAUGGUCGUUUUAGGCUCGUGGACUUAUCUGUCAGGUUUAUUCCGAUAACGGGCGAGAUCGCUACUGUCACAUUGAUUCCCCCGCCUCGUGCGGGACCCCUGUGCAGGACUGACGGCGAAAAGUCGUAAGAAGCGGCGGCUAUAACAGAUCCGGGAUGCCCCCAGAUAUUCCGGGCCGCACGCGGCCUACACUGCUUAGUUCAACGGGUUCCUGGGCCGAACAGGCAUCCGGGCAAGCCCUGAAACCGCCAGAACACUUCUUCACGACAGCGAGUUAAACCUCAGAUUUUAUUAUCUAAAUACGACUACACUUAAACGCACCUUCGGAAACUACCACCUUCAUAACAAAAGUCUGUCCUGAACCUAAUAUAAAGAGUUAACCCCCUCGUCGAGGCUUUUAGGAAGUUAAAUUCCUUUAAUGUUAAGAUGAGAAGCGCUGUUAGAUGAAAACUUACAUCUUUGGACUCGUUUCCUUAGUGUAACAUUGAAAGAGCUGUGGAUCGUUUCAAAUUAACAAACAAGGUUUCUUCUUCACUUAAAUGCUUUGACUUGGAAGAUUAUAUCUUUACCAAGGCAAACUUUAUUAUGAAGCAAGUUUCUGCAAUGUUCAUAAAAAAUACAUGAAAGCGCACCGUGUGGUCUAUUUUGGAUGUUAAGUGUGCUCAAUGCUGCUUCUCCGAAAAGACACAUGCGUGCUUAGGGACUGGUUGCUGUAACUGUAGCCACGAACGCGGAAUGCCUCGUACAGGUGUGUCAUCAACGCACCUGGAAUCUU